rnacentral:rRNA from 1 species
GGCCUACGGGGCGCAGCAGUGGGGAAUAUUGCACAAUGGGGGAAACCCUGAUGCAGCGACGCCGCGUGAGUGAAGAAGCAAUUCGUUAUGUAAAGCUCUAUCAGCAGGGAAGAAAAUGACGGUACCUGAGUAAGAAGCCCCGGCUAACUACGUGCCAGCAGCCGCGGUAAUACGUAGGGGGCAUGCGUUAUCCGGAUUUACUGGGUGUAAAGGGAGCGUAGGUGGCAUGGCAAGCCAGAAGUGAAAACCCGGGGCUUAACCCCGCGGAUUGCUUUUGGAACUGUCAGGCUGGAGUGCAGGAGGGC